AAUGGCUCAUUAUAUAAGUUAUCGUUUACUUGAUAGUGCCUAUCCUACAUGGAUAACAGUGGUAAUUCUAGAGCUAAUACAUGCUAAACAUCCCGACUCACGAAGGGACGUAUUUAUUAGAAUCAGAACCAAUGCCCUUCGGGGUUCUCUGGUGAUUCAUGAUAACUCCACAGAUCGCAUGGCCUUGCGCCGGCGAUGGCUCAUUCAAGUUUCUUCCCUAUCAACUUUCGACGGUACGGUAUUGGCCUACCGUGGUUGUAACGGGUGACGGAGGGUUAGGGCUCGACCCCGGAGAGGAAGCGAGAGUAUCGGCUUCCACAUCCAAGGAAGGCAGCAGGCGCGCAAAUUAUCCAAUCCCGACUCGGGGAGGUAAGCUAAAUUGCCCUAUUUUAUGGCCAACCGGCCUCUAUUAGUAAAAUAGAAACGCUAACAACCUAUGCAGAUAGUGACAAUAAAUACCGAUACAGGGCUCUUUUGGGCCCCGUAAUUGGAAUGAGUACAAUUUAAACCUCUUAACGAGGAACAAUUGGAGGGCAAGUCUGGUGGACCCCCAGUCCCGUUGCUGGCGCCAGCAAGAGUGGGAGGCGCCCCCUUAAUAUGGGGGGCCUUCAGACCCGCUAGUCGAGCAUCCACCAAAGGGCGGGAGGAUGCCGGCGAGACAACCUGGAUCGGGGGAGGCUAAGGGCCCGCAGUGCCUAUGCUAAUCCCGAGCAGAGCGUCCGGGGAGCGAUCCCCGGCACGCCUGUGUAGAGCGCGCCAAGGUGUCGGUCGCACUGCAGCGAAGGUUGCAGGCGGCUUGAGGUACGUGCCGACCCCCGCGAAAGCGGGUUCCUGUCCAGAGCGCCCGCCACGCAAAGGACGGGGAGCUGUCGCUUCGCUAUAACUAGCGACGCUGUAGUGGGUAACGAUCGCUAUCGUCACUAUCGAGAGGGCUCGAGGUGACGAUGCGGCGAUAGAAAUCGGCCAGCAGCCGCGGUAAUUCCAGCUCCAAUAGCGUAUAUUAAAGUUGUUGUGGUUAAAAAGCUCGUAGUCGAACCUCGGGCCUGGCCGGCCGGUCCGCCUCACCGCGUGGACUGGGUCCGGGCGGGGUCUUUCCCUCUGGGGAACCGAAUGCCCUUCACUGGGCCGUGUCGGGGAAGCAGGACUUUUACUUUGAAAAAAUUAGAGUGCUCAAGGCAGGCCAAUGCUCGGAUACAUUAGCAUGGAAUAAUAAAAUAGGACGUUGGUUCUAUUUUGUUGGUUUCUAGGACCGCCGUAAUGAUCAAUAGGGACGGUCGGGGGCAUCAGUAUUCAGCCGUCAGAGGUGAAAUUCUUGGACCGGCUGAAGACUAACUACUGCGAAAGCAUUUGCCAAGGACGUUUUCGCUGAUCAGGAACGAAAGUUAGGGGAUCGAAGACGAUCAGAUACCGUCGUAGUCUUAACCAUAAACUAUGCCGACUAGGGAUCGGGCGGCGUUCUUUCUAGACCCGCUCGGCACCU
rnacentral:rRNA from 1 species